rnacentral:rRNA from 1 species
UGCGGGGGGAGCAAGCGUUGUUCGGAUUUACUGGGCGUAAAGGGCGCGUAGGCGGCCUCUGCAAGUCGACUGUGAAAUCUCCGGGCUUAACCCGGAAAGGUCAGCCGAUACUGCAGGGCUAGAGUGCAGAAGGGGCAACUGGAAUUCUCGGUGUAGCGGUGAAAUGCGUAGAUAUCGAGAGGAACACCUGCGGCGAAGGCGGGUUGCUGGGCUGACACUGACGCUGAAGUGCGAAAGCUAGGGGAGCGAACGGG